GUUUUCAUCUCAUAAUUUAAUUCAUUUUUUCUACAAAUAUUAUUUAGAUCCGAAAUUUCCCGAAGAUUAUUAUUUGCGUGUCUUCUAAGUGCAUAUAAUAGACGGAGAUAUGAACAACAAAAAGUAUAAAAAAUGGGAGGAAGCCAAAGGUUUCGUGAGAUUACAGAAGUUUAUGGGCGUCCCUGAUAUGAGAUGAGGAAAAGGAAGGAAUGAUCAAAUACAUUGCAUGAGGCUUGGAACAAGUCAGUUGCGGUUUCGACACUGAAACGAUAAGUUCUCUAAUACUAGUUUUUAUAUCGCGUAAAUAAUGGCGCUGUGCAUUAAUAACAUUUUCUCAUGCAAAUAGAUAUUGUUUUAUAAUUAGUACGCUAUGAAUAUGUGUUUAAAAAUUUUAUGUGUAUAUUUAUUUCAAAAAAAAAUAAAAAUUUAUACGUAUUCUAGAUAUUUAAAAUUAUGAUUAUAUUAAAGUGCAUAAGUUAUCUUUAUAAUAUUCUAACAUGCAUAUUAUAUCAAUUUAAGUUCAUGCAUGGAUUUUGUUGUUAUUAUGUGACAUAUUAUUAAUUUAUUAUGUGCCAUAUGUUGUGAUUAAAUUACUUUUAUACUAAAAAAAAUGUACUUGGAGGACUUGCGAAUUGUGAUACUUCAGGGCAGGUGAAACUAGAAGCAUGAAAUCUCUUCUAAUAUGCGCCUCCAAAUUUAACUCAUUAGAGAUAAGUUUUCUACCUUUUUCUUUUAAUUUAUCUACUUUGCAAUUUUAUAUAAAUUUAUGUCAUGCAUUAUUAUGUUAUAAAUGUAUUGUUGCUUUAUAUAUUCUACAAAUUUAUGUAAAUUUUUGAUGAUUAAGAUAUAUCGUGUCUCUGUGUUUAACCCCCAAUAUUUUAUUUAUAAUAACUUGCUCUCAGUAUAAAAGUGCAGGUUUCCUAACAUGAAUUGCUUAGAGGUGCUACCUAAUAUUUAGAAUACCAGUGGUUUCAAUUGAUUGUUUUGCAG
rnacentral:lncRNA from 1 species